UCUGCAGGCCGGGUGACCGCGGGUCGCCUCGCGCGACUCGAGGAAAGUCCGGACACCGAAGGGCAGGACGCUGGGGAAACCCCAGGCGGCGAAAGCCGACGGAAAGUGGCACAGAAAGGAGACCGCCUCCAGCGCACGUGUCUCUCUAGAGACGCUGGCGGUAAGGGUGAAACGGUGGGGUAAGAGCCCACCAGCGUCGCGGUGACGCGGCGGCUAGCCAAACCCCGUCCGGUGCAAGGCGAAACAGGCCCCGACGACGUUGCCCGCCGAGGGGCCGGGUCCGCCGCUCGAGCUGCCGGGAGACCGGUGGCCCAGAGAGAUGGUCAUCCUCGACAGAAUCCGGCUUAGAGGUCUGCUAAAGGA
rnacentral:RNase_P_RNA from 1 species